rnacentral:rRNA from 1 species
UACGUAGGGGGCAAGCGUUGUCCGGAUUUACUGGGCGUAAAGCGCCUGUAGGCGGCCUGUCAAGUCCGGCCUGAAAGCCCCCCGCUCAACGGGGGAGGGUGGCUGGAAACUGGCAGGCUUGAGGGCGAGAGAGGAGGGUGGAAUUCCUGGUGUAGCGGUGAAAUGCGUAGAUAUCGAGAGGAACACCUGCGGCGAAGGCGGGUUGCUGGGCCGACACUGACGCUGAGUGAGCGAAAGCCAGGGGAGCAAACGGG